rnacentral:rRNA from 1 species
UACGUAGGGUGCGAGCGUUGUCCGGAAUUACUGGGCGUAAAGAGCUCGUAGGUGGUUUGUCACGUCGUCUGUGAAAUUCCGGGGCUUAACCUCGGGCGUGCAGGCGAUACGGGCAAUACUUGAGUGCUGUAGGGGAGACUGGAAUUCCUGGUGUAGCGGUGAAAUGCGCAGAUAUCAGGAGGAACACCAAUGGCGAAGGCAGGUCUCUGGGCAGUUACUGACGCUGAGGCGCGAAAGCGUGGGGAGCAAACAGGAUUAGAUA